UACGUAGGGCGCAAGCGUUAUCCGGAAUUAUUGGGCGUAAAGGGCUCGUAGGCGGUCUGUCGCGUCGGGAGUGUAAAACUCAGGGCUUAACCCUGAGCCUGCUUCCGAUACGGGCAGACUAGAGGUAUGCAGGGGAGAACGGAAUUCCUGGUGUAGCGGUGAAAUGCGCAGAUAUCAGGAGGAACACCGGUGGCGAAGGCGGUUCUCUGGGCAUUACCUGACGCUGAGGAGCGAAAGUGUGGGGAGCGAACAGG
rnacentral:rRNA from 1 species